UGUAAACAGGCAUAGCUGAUUAGCGGUGUUCGGUAGGGAUAAACGCUGAAAGCAUAUAAGCGUGAAACCCGCCUCAAGAUAAGGUUUCCCUGGUAGAUUAACUACCCAGAAGACCCGCAGAAGACUACUGCGUUGAUAGGCAGAAGGUGUAAGCACAGUAAUGUGUUUAGCUAAUCUGUACUAAUAGGUCGUGAGGCUUGGCCGU
rnacentral:rRNA from 1 species